rnacentral:rRNA from 1 species
CGGAUCAGUGGCGAACGGGUGAGUAACACGUGAGCAACCUGCCCCCUACUCUGGGAUAAGCCUUGGAAACGAGGUCUAAUACCGGAUACGAGGCGCCCGGGCAUCUGGAGCGUCUGGAAAGAUUUAUCGGUGGGGGAUGGGCUCGCGGCCUAUCAGCUUGUUGGUGGGGUGAUGGCCUACCAAGGCGACGACGGGUAGCCGGCCUGAGAGGGCGACCGGCCACACUGGGACUGAGACACGGCCCAGACUCCUACGGGAGGCAGCAGUGGGGAAUAUUGCACAAUGGGCGCAAGCCUGAUGCAGCGACGCCGCGUGAGGGAUGACGGCCUUCGGGUUGUAAACCUCUUUCAGCAGGGAAGAAGCGCAAGUGACGGUACCUGCAGAAGAAGCGCCGGCUAACUACGUGCCAGCAGCCGCGGUAAUACGUAGGGCGCAAGCGUUGUCCGGAAUUAUUGGGCGUAAAGAGCUCGUAGGCGGUCUGUCGCGUCUGCUGUGAAAACCUCAGGCUCAACCUGGGGCUUGCAGUGGGUACGGGCAGACUAGAGUGCGGUAGGGGUGACUGGAAUUCCUGGUGUAGCGGUGGAAUGCGCAGAUAUCAGGAGGAACACCGAUGGCGAAGGCAGGUCACUGGGCCGCAACU